UGUGAUAUUGGCCUGGUUCACUCAGACGUGGAAAACCUACCCUUUUCUCGGCUUUAUUUUGCUUGGACGAUGUUGUCUUGCUCUGAUUGAGCCGUGCCAAUAUCUCAGU
rnacentral:pre_miRNA from 1 species